GUUAAAAAAAAAAUAGACAAUGGUUCCUUUUUGGAUCUGAAACUGGCACCAUUUGAAUAGAAAGGAACUCAGACUACCUCAUUUUAUGAACUGUGGAUCUCUAUCAGCAGCAGAGUGCCUCAAAGACAUACAAGACAAAGAAUGGCUUUGCUAGCUGAGACUACUAUACACUCCCAGACAGAAGACAGCAGAAGACACCUGGAAAGGUAAGGUUACAUCUUCCUGGGUGUUACCUUUAGCUCAGUGAGAGGAAGCUGAAUGAUUUGUGAAGCAGAGUUGUUUUCUUACAUAUGGCAUAUUGAUAUGCAGAUAUGAUGCCACAACAACAUAAACUUCACACUUACUGAAGCAGCC
rnacentral:lncRNA from 1 species